rnacentral:rRNA from 1 species
UACGUGAGGGGCAAGCGUUGGUCCGGAUUCAUUGGGUCGUAAAGAGCGUGUAGGCGGCCAGGUAGGUCGGUUGUGAAAACUCGAGGCUCAACCUCGAGACGUCGAUGGAAACCAUCUGGCUAGAGUCCGGAAGAGGAGAGUGGAAUUCCUGGUGUAGCGGUGAAAUGCGCAGAUAUCAGGAAGAACACCCGUGGCGAAGGCGGCUCUCUGGUACGUGACUGACGCUGAGACGCGAAAGCGUGGGGAGCAAACAGG